AAAUUGAAGAGUUUGAUCAUGGCUCAGAUUGAACGCUGGCGGCAGGCUUAACACAUGCAAGUCGAACGGUAACAGAGAAUAGCUUGCUAUUUUGCUGACGAGUGGCGGACGGGUGAGUAAUGCUUGGGAAUAUGCCUUAUGGUGGGGGACAACAGUUGGAAACGACUGCUAAUACCGCAUAACAUCUCCGGAUCAAAGUGGGGGACCUUCGGGCCUCACGCCAUAAGAGUAGCCCAAGUGGGAUUAGCUAGUUGGUAAGGUAAUGGCUUACCAAGGCGACGAUCCCUAGUUGGUCUUAGAGGAUGACCAGCCACACUGGAACUGAGACACGGUCCAGACUCCUACGGGAGGCAGCAGUGGGGAAUAUUGCACAAUGGGCGCAAGCCUGAUGCAGCCAUGCCGCGUGUGUGAAGAAGGCUUUCGGGUUGUAAAGCACUUUCAGCGAGGAGGAAAGGUUGUACUUUAAUAGAGUGCAGCUGUGACGUUACUCGCAGAAGAAGCACCGGCUAACUCCGUGCCAGCAGCCGCGGUAAUACGGAGGGUGCGAGCGUUAAUCGGAAUUACUGGGCGUAAAGCGCGCGUAGGUGGUUAAUUAAGUCAGAUGUGAAAUCCCAGGGCUCAACCUUGGAACUGCAUUUGAAACUGGUUGACUAGAGUUUUGUAGAGGGUGGUAGAAUUUCAGGUGUAGCGGUGAAAUGCGUAGAGAUCUGAAGGAAUACCAGUGGCGAAGGCGGCCACCUGGACAAAGACUGACACUGAGGCGCGAAGGCGUGGGGAGCAAACGGGAUUAGAUACCCCGGUAGUCCACGCAGUAAACGAUGUCUAUUAGAAUUUUGUGGCUAUAUGCCGUGGGAUUCAAAGCUAACGCAUUAAAUAGACCGCCUGGGGAGUACGGCCGCAAGGUUAAAACUCAAAUGAAUUGACGGGGGCCCGCACAAGCGGUGGAGCAUGUGGUUUAAUUCGAUGCAACGCGAAGAACCUUACCAUCCCUUGACAUCCAGAGAAUCUGUUAGAGAUAGUAGAGUGCCUUCGGGAACUCUGAGACAGGUGCUGCAUGGCUGUCGUCAGCUCGUGUUGUGAAAUGUUGGGUUAAGUCCCGCAACGAGCGCAACCCUUAUCCUUAUUUGCCAGCGGGUUAUGCCGGGAACUCUAGGGACACUGCCGGUGAUAAACCGGAGGAAGGUGGGGACGACGUCAAGUCAUCAUGGCCCUUACGGGAUGGGCUACACACGUGCUACAAUGGCAAAUACAAAGGGCUGCUCACCAGCGAUGGUAUGCGAAUCUCCUAAAGUUUGUCGUAGUCCGGAUCGGAGUCUGCAACUCGACUCCGUGAAGUUGGAAUCGCUAGUAAUCGUGGAUCAGAAUGCCACGGUGAAUACGUUCCCGGGCCUUGUACACACCGCCCGUCACACCAUGGGAGUGGGCUGCACCAGAAGUCAUUAGCUUAACCCUUCGGGGAUGGCGAUGACCACGGUGUGGUUCAUGACUGGGGUGAAGUCGUAACAAGGUAGCCCUAGGGGAACCUGGGGCUGGAUCACCUCCUUACGUAAAGAA
rnacentral:rRNA from 1 species